CCUACGGGAGGCAGCAGUGAGGAAUAUUGGUCAAUGGACGAGAGUCUGAACCAGCCAAGUAGCGUGAAGGAUGACUGCCCUAUGGGUUGUAAACUUCUUUUAUAUGGGAAUAAAACGUUCCACGUGUGGGAUUUUGUAUGUACCAUAUGAAUAAGGAUCGGCUAACUCCGUGCCAGCAGCCGCGGUAAUACGGAGGAUCCGAGCGUUAUCCGGAUUUAUUGGGUUUAAAGGGAGCGUAGGUGGAUUGUUAAGUGAGUUGUGAAAGUUUGCGGCUCAACCGUAGAAUUGCAGUUGAAACUGGCAGUCUUGAGUACAGUAGAGGUGGGCGGAAUUCGUGGUGUAGCGGUGAAAUGCUUAGAUAUCACGAAGAACUCCGAUUGCGAAGGCAGUUCACUGGACUGCAACUGACACUGAGGCUCGAAAGUGUGGGUAUCAAACAGGAUUAGAUACCCGAGUAGUC
rnacentral:rRNA from 1 species